ACAGUGGCAAAUAGGAGUAAAAUAUUUUUUAUCUGGUAGGCCAAACAAAAAAGAUAGGAUUAUUCAUGUUUAAAGCCAAUUUCAGUGACCAAAUGCCAUGUACUCCUCAAGUUACAGUGUGACAUUAAAUUUUUUUCCUUCAAUCUCCAAUACUAGAAAGUUCUGGGUGCUACUUCAUUGAAAUUUUGCCUGAUAGAUUUAUUGCAAAACUGGAAUGCAAUCAAAGGAGAAAAUAUAUAUUUGCUCCGAUGACCUUCAAUUUCAUCAAAUGUUCAAAAACAAUUUUAUUUAGAUUUGUGAUCUGUUAUAGCUUAAGUAAUAUGCAACUUGCUGCCAGCAGACAGUGUAAAUAAAGGCUGGAAAAGUUAGUUCAACAGUAAUUUACUUUCUUGGGUUUCCCGUGUAUUUUUUUUAGCAAAAUAACUCGACGAGUUCACAGAAGUUCCUCUCUCUGUGUUCUCAAACUGAUUUAUGGGUUUCUCUACAAGCUAUACUAUAGAGAUAGUGUGCAGUGAAUUUUCCUCAUCUGAAAAGGAGAAGUUGAAAACUGUGGAGGCAAAGAUAUGUGUUCCAUUUUUCUAUGAUGAAAAGGACAAGCUAUACAAUAGAAAUAGUCCAAACGAACCGAGCUGUCUAAUCUUGAGGAAGAGUAUAUCGGGAAGUAUGUGCUCCAUUCAUACAAAGGCUAAUAUUUAGAAUCCUGGGAAGCAUAUAAUUUAUCAUGCUGCUCUUUUAGGGUUAUGGAUGUCGUAAGGCGUAUCUAGAAAUAUUUUUUAACAUUAUUUUCAAGUCAUUUAUCUCCUUGAAUUAUUACUUGCAUUUUUGUGAGAUGAUUAAUUGCUAAGUUAUAUUUCUAUAUUACAUCUAGCACACAUCAUCAUUACCAAGUUCCAUUUCACCAAUGUGUCAGAAUAGAUAAGAUUAUAUUAUUUCUUGUUCAGUCAACUCAGUCAUUCAAAGUCUGUUCCAAAAUAUGAAACAUGUUCGGUCUAAAUGGUUUGUCAAAAUUUAACGAGCACGUGCCUGAUCAUAUACUUCAGGUACUUGUUUUUAACGCAUGCUAUCUGGCCAUCUCUGAAGGAGGCCUUUUUUCCGAAAGCAUUGCAAAUGCUUGUUUCCUAAGAAGCUUCUCCUUAUCAAUGGUGUGAAAAAAUGUGCCUCGUUUCCAUUGGAAUUCACCAUUUUCUGUUGAUAAUUGCAGGAAAAUGUUCAAGCCAUAUGAACUUGGGUGCGUUGGAGCUCAAGACAAAGAGGAUACACUCAUUUUCUUUUUAACACGGGAUGGGUAAAGGACACAAGCUAUUCCAUUAGAUAAGAUCGAUGAUUACAUAAUAUCCCCAAAAGUCACAAGAAAACAAAAAAUACAAACUGGUUCCUGGAAUUUGUUUAUGUCCGUUGGAUGAAGGUGGAUGCUAGCCUCAAGGUGCUUCGUGCCUUGCCUUCAGCUAGGCACUGGAUCUCAGUCCCCCCAUGGUGGCAGAUGAAAGAAGAGAGGGACGGUGGCUAGACUUUCAGAUUGAACCACCUGCUUGUGCAGACCUUCUCGACACAUGGGAAGAAAACAAUUUGUGAUGUCUCCUGAAAUGUUCGUGGUCUCAGGGACACCUUGCUGCAGUUGGUGCAGAAGGCAGGGGUGUUCGUUGUCACUUUCCUGGGAUCCUAUCAUUGUGGUUUCAGCCAAGUCUAUGGAAGACACAAGAGUCAAAACAAACAUCUUGAUGAUAGCAAUAAACACAAGUAUGAGGGUGACAUAGUUUGCAUGAAAAGGUUGAGCAAGAAUCAACUAUUUACGAAGCUGGAUGCUAGCACAAGCAAUCCAUAUCAACCUAGGCAAACCUGAGGAACGAGAGAAGGAGGAAUUACCACUCAUGGUAAUCUGUAAGGCCCGAUGAUCGAAGUUAUCAGGAGGGGUGAUUGAGAGGAAUGGCUAUGAUUGAAGGGGACAUUUUUCUUGUGGAAGUGGAACGGGUAUAGACAUGUUUGACUACCUAUAUGGUGGUAGAAACAACAUGCACGAGGUUGCUUGGGAUCAAACAAAAAUUGGAAGAAAUACCUUUAUGAUCAGAUAGUGCGAUGGGUAGAUGAUAGCUAUGUUUUGCAUUGCUCUAUGGACUUGAGUUGUUUGGGACGGCUCAAUUGUCAUGUACUGGCACACUGUUGGGAUUUGUCUGUCUUCUCUCACAUAGAUGAUGUUAUAUAUUUCUGCUUGAUUAUACUUGCACUUGAUGUCAA